CUCCGCACCAUCCCUACCGCUUGCUGCGCCGUCGCGAGCCUCCCACACCCGCCCCCAUCACUCCCUGAUGUUCGGCGAGAUCUGGGGGGCAGCGCUCUCGCGGACGCGCGCGCAGUCUGGGCGGCGGCAUCCACCGCGCGGCGCCCCUGCCCCGCGUCCCCCACCCCGCGCCGCUCCGCUGCGAUGGUGCCACCGGUCGGAAUCUUCUGGUGGCAACGCCCGGCGACAGGCGCACGCCGUGCAGCGCGAGGAGACCCUGCAGCAAGCCGUGCUCGCCCGGAUGGGCGGAGAUCGAGCAGGAGUGGAUUCCGUGGUGCACGACGACGCCGACGGCUUCUCUUCGCCACCGAGCUCUGCUCCCCUCCCUCUGCGUCAGAAUCAAGCUUAAACAGGUGCAUCUUCGAGCAAGUAUAUAUAGUAUGGGCAAAUGUCGCUAAAGGAAUAAUCAUGGUUUCUGAAAACUGACCAUGCUCCCUUGAGUACUAUGUAGCAACAAACUCAGUUUAUAAAGUGCAAGCUUUUGUAGAAGUUCAAUUUUUUAAAAAGAGGACUCAGACAUGGCGAGAAGAAUGAAGGUGGAGGGGAAGGAGUGGAGAGAAAGAUGUCUGUCUCCACGUGGUGCGAAAAAGACUAUACAAGAUUCUGUAUUAUGUCGCGUUAAAACAAUCUGGAAUAUAAAGGAUUCUGGAGGAUGGCAAACCUAGGGAGUUCGGGCACCAUGAAACAUAACAAAGGUGGAUAUCCGUCCAUUGCCGCUGGAGAGGACGAAGACGGUAGGCGGGCUCAGGAGAUGACGCAGCUACAGCCGUCGAGCGGA